UCGUCAAUUUGCUGGGGACAAAUAAAAUGGAUAUGAGAGUCGACACCACCGGCGGUGAGAAUAUGACCCUCACCGGCGAGCACUUCGGUGCCUGCGCCAAUAAUAAUAUCGACGCCACUCUGGGUGUCGGGAUUGCCGGCUUUACCGAUGGUCGCAAUGCGCCCAUUCUUGAUCCCGACAUCGGCUUUGACUAUGCCCCAGUGGUCGAUAAUCAAGGCAUUGGUAAUCACUAGAUCAACGGUCUCUGCGCUGGGUCGCUGGCUCUGGCCCAUGCCAUCGCGA
rnacentral:sRNA from 1 species